rnacentral:rRNA from 1 species
AUUGAACGCUGGCGGCAGGCCUAACACAUGCAAGUCGAGCGGAUGAAGGGAGCUUGCUCCUGGAUUCAGCGGCGGACGGGUGAGUAAUGCCUAGGAAUCUGCCUGGUAGUGGGGGAUAACGUCCGGAAACGGGCACUAAUACCGCAUACGUCCUGAGGGAGAAAGUGGGGGAUCUUCGGACCUCACGCUAUCAGAUGAGCCUAGGUCGGAUUAGCUAGUUGGUGGGGUAAAGGCCUACCAAGGCGACGAUCCGUAACUGGUCUGAGAGGAUGAUCAGUCACACUGGAACUGAGACACGGCCCAGACUCCUACGGGAGGCAGCAGUGGGGAAUAUUGGACAAUGGGCGAAAGCCUGAUCCAGCCAUGCCGCGUGUGUGAAGAAGGUCUUCGGAUUGUAAAGCACUUUAAGUUGGGAGGAAGGGCAGUAAGUUAAUACCUUGCUGUUUUGACGUUACCAACAGAAUAAGCACCGGCUAACUUCGUG